AGUCGUAACAAGGUUUCCGUGCGGAAGGAAACACGUAUCCACGUUAAAUCCCCCGUGCACCUUCAUUCACAGGUACGUCGAUCCGCUUAACUGUGGCUCCGGCCUGCAAUGGGCUUUCCGGCUUUUCUGGUUUCUUUUGGGGGGGGUGCUCUUCCUAAGAGGGCUCUUCCCUUGAAGUCUCACGAUCACGACGUGAAGUUUAUUCGUGUGCGAAAAGUUCGUGGGUACGGCCAUUGGGUCCUCAGUCGGUGAGAAAAACGAAGCGCCUCAUCUUUUGUAAAGAAAGAUAUCCCGAACAACGGAUAUCUUGGUUCUC
rnacentral:misc_RNA from 1 species